UACGGAGGAGGCAAGCGUUAUCCGGAAUUAUUGGGCGUAAAGCGUCCGUAGGUGGCUCUUCAAGUCUGCUGUCAAAGAGUGGGGCUUAACCCUGCAAAGGCAGUGGAAACUGAAAGGCUAGAGAGCCGUAGGGGUAGAGGGAAUUCCCGGUGUAGCGGUGAAAUGCGUAGAGAUCGGGAAGAACAUCGGUGGCGAAAGCGCUCUACUGGACGGUAUCAGACACUGAGGGACGAAAGCUAGGGGAGCGAAUGGG
rnacentral:rRNA from 1 species